rnacentral:rRNA from 1 species
UAGGGCUUGCACUAUCACCUAGCGGCGGACGGGUGAGUAAUGCUUAGGAAUCUGCCUAUUAGUGGGGGACAACAUUUCGAAAGGAAUGCUAAUACCGCAUACGUCCUACGGGAGAAAGCAGGGGAUCUUCGGACCUUGCGCUAAUAGAUGAGCCUAAGUCGGAUUAGCUAGUUGGUGGGGUAAAGGCCUACCAAGGCGACGAUCUGUAGCGGGUCUGAGAGGAUGAUCCGCCACACUGGGACUGAGACACGGCCCAGACUCCUACGGGAGGCAGCAGUGGGGAAUAUUGGACAAUGGGCGCAAGCCUGAUCCAGCCAUGCCGCGUGUGUGAAGAAGGCCUUAUGGUUGUAAAGCACUUUAAGCGAGGAGGAGGCUACUUUAGAUAAUACCUAGAGAUAGUGGACGUUACUCGCAGAAUAAGCACCGGCUAACUCUGUGCCAGCAGCCGCGGUAAUACAGAGGGUGCAAGCGUUAAUCGGAUUUACUGGGCGUAAAGCGCGCGUAGGCGGCUAAUUAAGUCAAAUGUGAAAUCCCCGAGCUUAACUUGGGAAUUGCAUUCGAUACUGGUUAGCUAGAGUGUGGGAGAGGAUGGUAGAAUUCCAGGUGUAGCGGUGAAAUGCGUAGAGAUCUGGAGGAAUACCGAUGGCGAAGGCAGCCAUCUGGCCUAACACUGACGCUGAGGUGCGAAAGCAUGGGGAGCAAACAGGAUUAGAUACCCUGGUAGUCCAUGCCGUAAACGAUGUCUACUAGCCGUUGGGGCCUUUGAGGCUUUAGUGGCGCAGCUAACGCGAUAAGUAGACCG